rnacentral:lncRNA from 1 species
AGAAGGCCGUGCCCACCGGCACUUAACACCAUCCAUGGCAGCACAAUACUAAUACCUGCAACAACGUGGGUUCGAAAACCUUGAUUAAGAAGUGUACUUUCGCAAGUCUUACCCGUCUAAGGAAAAAUACUCUCAAGAAUAUGAUGGCUUUUGGGAAUCAAGAUAAGGCUAAGCAAUAAUCAAGGACUCAUUUUGCAGAAACGCUUACUAAUAGUGGAUCCUUAAGCCAUCUUUUAAUUAUCAAGUUAAGUUCUUACCUGAUUCUAAAUUUGCCUAAUCUAGAUCAUUCACUUGUCCUGAUCUAGCUUUAUUUUAGCCAAUUCAUAUUUCACUUAAUAACUACGAUGAGUGGUCAGUGAGUUGAGUCUCCAUAACUGAGGAGCAAGGACGAUUCGAACCGAUUAUACCCAGAUGGGGAUCCCUAACCACACGACAUAUGUAGCACUUAACCCUUGCAUAUGUCAACCGUUCCCACAGAUCCUCCACAACGUGAACCGGUCCGCGCUACCUGGGAGCAUGGUACUCCUCCGUCUAGCCUCUAGCCAGGAGGGUACACGCUACUCCCACCAUCUCCCACGCCUAGUGCGCGGUUGUCUUUUCACGUAUGGAAUAGCCGGGUUCAGGCUUACCAGAGCAUGUGGCUAGUUGCAAAGUCUCACCUCAUCAGGCCUACAUCGAACGGUCCUUAAUCGACAUAGACGGGCGAACUUUCCUGCUCAACGUCUGGUCUACAUUACAUAUUAUUUUCCUAAAACUUGAUACCUGAGAGAGGUAUCCUACUUGAAUGAUGAAAUCAUCGCGGCCGCAAUGGGUUCAUCAUCACAAGUCCUUUUAUUUCACAAACUCCCAUAUCCCGUGUUAGACAUCAUCUUUUAAAAACCAUCCUAAAUUAAUAAGCAGGGCUAAGCAUCACUAAAUUUUCAUAAAAUAGGUAUUAGAGUUGUUUAAUCAAGGAAGGAAAUGCAUCAACUGUUUGAUCACACAACUCCUAUCACUUAAUGCAUCAUUCAAGGUGAUAAAACUUUUUAAAACUAAAGGAGGUGGCAAAUGCACUGGGGCUUGCCUGGAUAACACUAGGUUAGUGUUGUUAGACGACGUCCGCUUGACGACCAUCUUUUGUCUUGACAUUCGUCAGAUUAUCCAUCUUCAGGUUCGUCCGACUGACGACGUCGUCUUGCGGAGAUGUCCACUCCUAGCACCAUCUUGAGGUCAACUUGGCUCGUCUUCCGCAUCACGCGAUCAAUUAAUGUACCUCAUGGGAUGCACGAUGCACAUGUAUGAGCACAAGUAUAAAUAGUACAAGAUAGAUAAUCUACACUAAAAAGGAUGAAACACUUAUAACCAAGCAUAUUUUAUACAAUAUACCAAUUACAACUUUAGAACUAAAAGACCUAAAGUGUUUAUACGCAUUACUUAUCAGGCAGAUCCUAGAUUUUGGUUGAAACAAAUAUAUCGAUGUUACUUGAUCCGAAAUAUUCGAUGUAGCAAUCAACAUCCAUUGAAAUCAUGAAAUCAACCAGCACAUAUGCAUGCCUGGUUUAGAGAGCACACUAAUUGACUUACAAUUUUAGCUUCACGAUUCUGGGACAUCUAAUGUUUAUAAAAUUCAUCGAAGAACUUUUAUUAACUUUCUAAACUAAUUUUCCGGCUAACCUAUGUAUUACACAUAUUAAUAAAACAUUAUAUUUUUGACACCUACAGUCCCGCAAGCACUGGGACCUAUUGUGACCUCUUUCUCCACACGACAUUAACCAAAU